rnacentral:rRNA from 1 species
AUUGAACGCUGGCGGCAGGCCUAACACAUGCAAGUCGAGCGAGCGGCGGACGGGUGAGUAAUAUAUGGGGCUCUGCGCGAUAGAGGGGGUUAACUACUGGAAACGGUGGCUACUACCGCAUACUUUCGGAUGAGCCCAUAUGGGAUUAGCUAGUGGGUGGGGUAAAGGCUGACCUAGGCGACGAUCUCUAGCUGGUCUGAGAGGAUGAUCAGCCACACUGGGACUGAGACACGGCCCAGACUCCUACGGGAGGCAGCAGUGGGGAAUAUUGCACAAUGGGCGAAAGCCUGAUGCAGCCAUGCCGCGUGUAUGAAGAAGGCCUUAGGAUUGUAAAGUACUUUCAGCGGGGAGGCGUUACCCGCAGAAGAAGCACCGGCUAACUCCGUGCCAGCAGCCGCGGUAAUUC